rnacentral:snoRNA from 1 species
CCAAUGUGGAUACCCCAGGAGGUCACUCUCCAUGUGGCAUAGGGGAGCAUAGGGCUCUGCCCUAGGAUGUACUGUCCCUUUCUACAAUGGUAGGAGAACCUGGGCCUUGAGUUUCUAGCACAUAUUCCUAGGACUUGUCAGAGUUCUGUGAACAAUGACUGAGGAGACAAACCAUUCAGGAAACAAAG